GCAGUAUCGACAUGGGCGAGGGCCGUGGUGGAGACGCAAGAUCUGUCGACGGCUAGGCAGUAGGCGGCGUUAAGUCCGACGGUCAGAAACGCCGAUAACGUAUGUUCGGUCGUGUUCUAACACUCGUCGGUUUACAACAGGUGGAUACUGAAUAGUUGGUGGUAUAGGAGCAGAUGAAGUCACAGUGCUUCCACCACCAUAUUCAGAAUCGUCGUCCCAUUCAUCAUCAUAAUAAUCAUCAGUACUAGCCUGCUGAUGUGGAUAUGCCUGUUGCUGAUUUUGACUGCCAGGAACUUGUGAAUAAAAUUCAUUUUGAUCAUCAACUUCCCAUGGAUCUGUUGAUGGCGGUAACGGUGGAGGUGGUAAAGCUGGCGGUGGUUUGCUUUCAUCUUUUCUGUCAUCCACCUUAGUUUUGAUUUCCUAUUAGCAUUCAAUAUAAACAUUAUAAAUGGUAAAAAUACAACCAUAUAAAUCAAACUACGAGAAAAACAAACCUCAACAUAUGCAGCUGGAAACAAGCCUGUGCGGCCAGAUGUGUUUGUUCCUUCCCACCAGCCCUCACCAACAUCUUGUCGGGUUACCACCAGUGUCUCACCAGCAGUUACUGAUAAUUCUGAUGAGCCGGGUUCACCCACAAAAUCAUACAAUACUAAAACCUAGGGUACACCAACUUUAUUUAGAAAAGAUACAACCAUUAACAGCUAAUUUAACCUGUAUUUAAUUUUAAAAAUAAGUGAAUAACAAUUGAACUAUUUUGUUUGAUUAAUAACAUUUUAUUUAUGUGAAAAUUAUUUUUCUAAAUUAUGAAGUUCAUAAUAUAUGUAUAGACUAAAUUAACAGAAGAGACAAAUUAUAUUAUUAUAAUAAUAUAAAUGAGUUGUGAAUUUGUAAUAUAUAUUUAAAUUACCUA